rnacentral:guide_RNA from 1 species
AUCAAAUAAAUUAUAUGGAUUUUUACAGUGGUGAUUGUGAGUAAU